UAGUCCGAAUAACAGCUGAUUCAGAUCCAUUUUUUCUUUAUAAGUUAAUAGUUACAGAAGACGAUUUUCAGAGCUUAAAACAUCAGCAGAGGCUCUUAAUAGAUUUUUCUGCGUUCCCACAAAAGUUUAUAGAUCUUCUACAGCAGUGCAUCCAAGAGGAGAACAAAGAUAUUCCAAGAAUGAAAAGUUGCUGUUAGAAGAGUAGCUUAAAAAAACCAAAUUUGACCUGAACAAGCAAUCAACAGACAACCAAAAGGUAUCAAAAUUGCAAGAACAAUUAAAAGGAUCAAUGGAGAAAUUAGAGGAAAGCAAUCAGCUUAUUAAAACUAAUGAAAAUGGUA